rnacentral:tRNA from 1 species
UUCUUAUGGCAGAUUAAUGCAUUAGAUUUAGAAUCUACCAAUUCUAACCAUUACCCCUUUUAUAA